GAUGAACGCUGGCGGCGUGCCUAAUACAUGCAAGUCGAGCGAACGGACGAGAAGCUUGCUUCUCUGAUGUUAGCGGCGGACGGGUGAGUAACACGUGGAUAACCUACCUAUAAGACUGGGAUAACUUCGGGAAACCGGAGCUAAUACCGGAUGAUAUUUUGAACCGCAUGGUUCAAAAGUGAAAGACGGUCUUGCUGUCACUUAUAGAUGGAUCCGCGCUGCAUUAGCUAGUUGGUAAGGUAACGGCUUACCAAGGCAACGAUGCAUAGCCGACCUGAGAGGGUGAUCGGCCACACUGGAACUGAGACACGGUCCAGACUCCUACGGGAGGCAGCAGUAGGGAAUCUUCCGCAAUGGGCGAAAGCCUGACGGAGCAACGCCGCGUGAGUGAUGAAGGUCUUCGGAUCGUAAAACUCUGUUGUUAGGGAAGAACAUAUGUGUAAGUAACUGUGCACAUCUUGACGGCACCUAAUCAGAAAGCCACGGCUAACUACGUG
rnacentral:rRNA from 1 species